rnacentral:pre_miRNA from 1 species
GGGGGGAUGUCGGAUCCUGGGCUGUGUCCCGGCGCCCUGUGCUCCCGGGCCUGCGCUGUUGGAUUCGCGCUCCCGGCCGUGCAGCCCCCU